CCGUAUCAUGAAAUAAACCUUAUAUAAAUAAACACGGAAGACAUGGACUUGUAUAGUAUUAACUGUAUACAUGUUGGAAAUCGAAAUGCAUUGUAUUCAAUACCUCCAGAAUAUGGACACGAAUUUGAAUGAUUGGCUAAUCGCUUUUUUCCAACUAAACCGGCAAACUGCCCUGCUUUUCUCAGGCAUAAAGUGACUAUGAUAUCUCCUAAUAUUUUGGAACAAAAUGCUAUACCCUAUAAUAAAAUCACACAGGAGAAAGGGGAAUUCAUUAUAACGUUCCCCUUUGGAUAUCAUAGUGGCUUUAACUACGGAUUUAACAUGGCUGAAGCUAUACAUUUUGCAUCAUCUCCACGUUGGGUGGAGUAUGGGAUAAAAGCUUCACUGUGUCAUUGCCGUAAAGAUUCAGUGAAGAUUUGUAUGGACACAUUUAUUAAACUAUAUUUUAAUUCCGUAUCAUGAAAUAAACAUUAUAUAAAUAAACACGGAAGACAUGGACUUGUAUAGUAUUAACUGUAUACAUGUUGGAAACCGAAAAGCAUUGUAUUCAAUACCUCCUGAAUAUGGACACGAAUUUGAAUGAUUGGCUAAUCGCUUUUUUCCAACUAAACCGGUAAACUGCCCUGCUUUUCUCAGGCAUAUAGUGACUAUGAUAUCUCUUAAUAUUUUGGAACAAAAUGCUAUACCCUAUAAUAAAAUCACACAGGAGAAAGGGGAAUUCAUUAUAACAUUCCCCUUUGGAUAUCAUAGUGGCUUUAACUACGGAUUUAACAUGGCUGAAGCUAUACAUUUUGCAUCUCCACGUUGGGUGGAAUAUGGGAUAAAAGCGUCACUGUGUCAUUGCCGUAAAGAUUCAGUGAAGAUUUGUAGGGACACAUUUAUUAAACUAUAUUUUAAUUCCGUAUCAUGAAAUAAACCUUAUAUAAAUAAACACGGAAGACAUGGACUUGUAUAGUAUUAACUGUAUACAUGUUGGAAAUCGAAAAGCAUUGUAUUCAAUACCUCCAGAAUAUGGACACGAAUUUGAAUGAUUGGCUAAUCGCUUUUUUCCAACUAAACCGGCAAACUGCCCUGCUUUUCUCAG